GAGAUGGCAGCGGCUUCUCCCCAGCCCGGAGGCUGCCUCCUCCUGACAAGGGGCCCCAGUCGUCGGGGCCCUAAACCAGCUGUGGCAACCGCCCACCGCUGGCCAAAUGGAACGCUCCUCACGUCACCAGGUCGUUCCAGUAGUUGCUAGCCCUCUAUUGGCUGAUCCGCCUCGGCGCCUCCGCCCCUGCCACCCCUGCCCCGAACUACCAUUGGCUGCGCAGAACGCCACUCGACGACGCCUCCGCCCCAUUCCCCCACCCAUCUCCCGACUUCGUGCCCACCUGCCAAGCCUUUGCCAGCCUCCCUUUGGGGUCUGAGCACCGAUGUGUGAAGUGUCGCUUUCUAUUAAUAUAGUUCCGCAGGGACCGGGAUGAAGCGUAGUGUCAAUGGGACUAGGAGGAACGGGGGACCUGCCUCCCCCCGCACACACGUACCAUGAGACGCUGAAGGAACCCUGGCUCACAGAUCCCGGUGCUCACCCCAAACUGGAUCCUCCUUGGGCCUCUCCAGCCGUACUUACAUGAAAUCAAUCGCGACUUGGGAUUUUACUCUGUACCCGCGUAAAAAUAAGUUCUGCCUCCCAAGUCAUAUUCACGAGGUAGGGAUCCCACCUUUGUCCCAGUCACCCUGGCCUGCAUCUGUGGCUUUAGGGACAAAACAAACAUAUAAAAAGGAACUUGAAAGAGAUAACUGUCCCCAAGAGGAUAGAAUCACUUUGCGGUAUCGUAAACAAAAAAUUGACGCUGAAACUCUACUGACAGGACAUAAAUUCUUUCAGGACCUCUCUGAUGACACCUUCUCCAUCUCCUUGGAAAAGAGUGAACAAUCUCUGACUGAGUCCACACUGCAUAAAAACAGAAGCCGCUUGACAGCUAGCAAAAGCAUCUACUUGUUCACAUACAUAACUAAGUAAAUAUUUAAUGUAUGAUCUGUUAGCUGUUCCUGUUGCUGUGUAUUUCUGAUAAAUGCAUCUGUGUUAGUGUUAUGUCCAGUUAGAAGUGGUUUGGACAA
rnacentral:lncRNA from 1 species